rnacentral:rRNA from 1 species
CCUACGGGUGGCAGCAGUGAGGAAUAUUGGUCAAUGGACGAGAGUCUGAACCAGCCAAGUAGCGUGAAGGAUGACUGCCCUAUGGGUUGUAAACUUCUUUUAUAUGGGAAUAAAACGUUCCACGUGUGGGAUUUUGUAUGUACCAUAUGAAUAAGGAUCGGCUAACUCCGUGCCAGCAGCCGCGGUAAUACGGAGAAUCCGAGCGUUAUCCGGAUUUAUUGGGUUUAAAGGGAGCGUAGGUGGAUUGUUAAGUCAGUUGUGAAAGUUUGCGGCUCAACCGUAAAAUUGCAGUUGAAACUGGCAGUCUUGAGUACAGUAGAGGUGGGCGGAAUUCGUGGUGUAGCGGUGAAAUACUUAGAUAUCACGAAGAACUCCGAUUGCGAAGGCAGUUCACUGGACUGCAACUGACACUGAGGCUCGAAAGUGUGGGUAUCAAACAGGAUUAGAUACCCCGGUAGUC